rnacentral:rRNA from 1 species
ACGGAAGGCAGCAGUGGGGAAUAUUGCACAAUGGGCGCAAGCCUGAUGCAGCGAUGCCGCGUGAGGGAAGAAGGUUUUCUGAUUGUAAACCUCUGUCAACAGGGACGAAAAUGAAGGCACCUGUGAAGGAAGCUCCGGCUAACUACGUGCCAGCAGCCGCGGUAAUACGUAGGGAGAAAGCGUUAUCCGGAAUUACUGGGUGUAAAGGGAGUGUAGGCGGGACUGUAAGUCAGAUGUGAAAUAUGCCGGCUCAACUGGCAGACUGCAUUUGAAACUGCGGUUCUUGAGUGAAGUAGAGGUAAGCGGAAUUCCUAGUGUAGCGGUGAAAUGCGUAGAUAUUAGGAGGAACAUCAGUGGCGAAGGCGGCUUACUGGGCUUUAACUGACGCUGAGGCUCGAAAGCGUGGGGAGCAAACAGGAUUAGAUACCCUGGUA